rnacentral:rRNA from 1 species
GAUGAACGCUGGCGGCGUGCCUAAUACAUGCAAGUCGAGCGAACAGACGAGGAGCUUGCUUCUCUGAUGUUAGCGGCGGACGGGUGAGUAACACGUGGAUAACCUACCUAUAAGACUGGGAUAACUUCGGGAAACCGGAGCUAAUACCGGAUAAUAUUUUGAACCGCAUGGUUCAAAAGUGAGAGACGGUCUUGCUGUCACUUAUAGAUGGAUCCGCGCUGCAUUAGCUAGUUGGUAAGGUAACGGCUUACCAAGGCAACGAUGCAUAGCCGACCUGAGAGGGUGAUUGGCCACACUGGAACUGGGACACGGUCCAGACUCCUACGGGAGGCAGCAGUAGGGAAUCUUCCGCAAUGGGCGAAAGCCUGACGGAGCAACGCCGCGUGAGUGAUGAAGGUCUUCGGAUCGUAAAACUCUGUUAUUAGGGAAGAACAAAUGUGUAAGUAACUGUGCACAUCUUGACGGUACCUAAUCAGAAAGCCACGGCUAACUACGUG